rnacentral:piRNA from 1 species
UGAACUUGGUCCCCCAGACUGGAAAGC